AGUCCAUGAGCUGGACUAUACGAUAUAUUAUCAUGUGUCACCUUUUGGUGCGUCUCUCUCUCCCCUCCAAAUUCCUUUUUCCGUUUUUCCCCUUAUUAAAAAAAAACCAAAAUAUGGAGGUGAAGAAAGCCACACCACAUCCAAUCUGUGUUCCUGUCCCUCACAAAAGUGUAUAUUAUAGAUAUAGAAUAAUGACACUAAAUAAGAGUGGACUGGACAUCUAGAAAAAAAUGAAAAUUGUUGUAAUAUAUGAAACUGGCCUUUCCUAUGCUGAAAUUGCAAAACAAGUAAGUGGAGCAGGGAUUAAAUCUGG
rnacentral:lncRNA from 1 species